CACCAAAUGUCUGAACCUGCAGUGCGGUAACAUGGCAACAGAUGUCACUGUUGUCCAUAAUAAGAGUAGUCCCGGUGCAGUAAUCAGGAAAGGAACCCAUAUAGAAUGGGUUGUUGUGAAAAUGUGAAAUGAGGAAGUAGAGAACUGAAGUCGAAGUGGCCCUUGUAUUUGCUGUCAAGGAGAACAGAGAUUGGUUGUAACGUUCAGAAGGAGAUCACUCAUCCUGGGAGAUACCAUCAGCCACGUUAUGAGACUACUCCAGCAGUUCUGUGGUGAGGAAGCAACUUUCCAGCAACAACUCAUUAUCUAUGGGAUUAUGUCACCUGGAAGUGAAUUUUCUAGCCUCAGUCAAGCCUUCAGAUAAUUACAGCCUCAGCUCACAUCUGACUACAAACUCAUGAGAGAUUUCAAUCCAGAAACACUCAAGCCAGAAACUUCCAAAUUCCUG
rnacentral:lncRNA from 1 species